UAGCGAGCUUGCAUGACGUCGGGCUAGCAUGGCGGCCUUUCUGACGUAAUACACUCGUCAAACAAUGUCGGGUGUCCAAAAUUAGACUGUACCUGCAGUGACGUGCUGAUGAUGAUGGUUGUUGUCCACCGAGGUUCUUCGGCUGUCGCCAUCAACAGAGAAGAAUUGCCCUGCUUGCAGUCAGUGGUGGGUUUCCAGUUCCACAAUGGUCCACUCCCCCUGUGGUGAAGCUGCAUCUUCUGGGGAGAAGCUAGUCACCGUGAUGCUGGUGGACGAGUCCUCCAGGGGUGAGAUAAGCUCUGCCCAGCGUUUGAACGUCUCCCUCUCUGGGGACAGGAAGGCUUGCGUGUCAAGACAGUCCCGCGACAAGGACAGCGUCUGCUUGAUGAGGUACUGGGCAAGGUUCAGCUCUUCGGGCACCGGAUUUAUGACACCCAGAUUGGACUCAUGUUCCGAGAGGAGUUGCCUGAGCAGGCUCCAGUCCUGCUCGGCAAACCCGAUGCUUUUGUACUCAUCAUCCACUCUCAGCUCUCCUUCCUCUGCCCGAUGUCUCCUGUCUUUGUCCAUGCAGUGCGCAAACGUUUCUCCCGCAUCCGUCUCGUAAAUGGGGGAGAGGGCUUUGGAUGGCGUCCGCUCAUGAUUGCCGCUUAGAUCCAAUCUGUCACAAGCAAUGUCGCCUAAAAACAAUUGACAAUACUGCAAAAUGACAAAAGUGUAUCACAAGCUCACAAGUCUUUUUUGUUUUUAACAUUUCAGAGAUAAACCACUGCCGGCGACAACAACACAGAAUACUGUAGCCUGAGUGCAGCUUUAAUACACUUCCCACAGUGAAACAGACUAGGAAGCAGUGACUUUAAUGGCUGCAUUUACAGUGAAGUAGAGUAGAGAGGAACACACUUCUGAAUGCAUCUAAAAAAAAAAAAGCCAUGCAUUGCACGCACCAGUCUAUGUGCAAUUUCUUUUGAGAAGACCUAAUAAACAGCAGAAAAUGUAAGCUCUCAUAGAUAUUCUUAGUUUUUUCGUCUUCAAAAUGCAAACUAUGUUGUAGUUCAGCAGGUUUUCUCUCUUUUGACAGUGGAAAAAAAGCGACACAUGAGAGCUUCUCUAGAUAGGCAUAAGGUACAAUACAGAGACUACGCAAUGUCGCUCCAGCAUAAGCAAAUAGACAACAGACCAUUGUUUUUUAUCUCUUAAGCAUCAGGACACAAGUCUACCAGGCACAACAGAAGAUCAUGACAAACACAAAAAAAAUGGAUGUCGGGGAACAUGCAUGUGUGCAGUGCAAAAUAAUAAAAACUCACUCUAGGUGUCGUCACAGUCAAAAUAAAGAGCAACCAGGAGAUGCAAAGCAAAAGGUUUCCCAGCCCACUCUUUAAAAAAAAAAAAAAAAAGAAACAAGCAGUGCAAAUUGACUCCAAUUACUUUUUUAUGUCAUCUUGUUCUGCUACAGAAUAUAAAAUAAAUCAGAUUGUAUGAAAAAUAUACUGUAAACAUUUUUAAUCGUUAUCACAUAUAGCAUUUCAGCAACGUUUUUGUACAGUUAAAGUUAACUAGAGCGGAACACCAAUAUUAGGAAGUAAUGACAUUAAAAUAUAGAUUUUUAGCACAAUCAUCUUUGGUUACCAGUGGCUGUCAAUCAUCUGCCAGUGUUUGGCAGACUGUUUACGUGCAAGCUGGGUCAGAGGCUGUAAUAACCAAAACAAACAUUUAAGCCAGGGGUGUCCAAACGUUUUCCAGCGAGGCCUACAUACUAAGAAAUUUAAAGAUUCGGUGUACCAUUUUGGUACAUUUUGUACAUUAAAGGAGCCCUGCUCAUCUCAGGCACUUUUAAAAUUGUGUUGGAUAGAGUACUCCAGAAAAUAAGCUGUGCACAGGAUAAAUCUGCAUUCUUCUCCUCUGACACGUUCUGAUAACACAACCUGCUUCCUGACCAUGCCUACUCUGUUACCAUAGGUAGGUGUCCGUUUCACAGUACUAUGGUGCAUUAAAGGGCUCCUGAACAAAGUGCAAAAUCUGAAUGCUUGUUGAAAUACAUUAUCGGUAAAGCAUAAAGACAUAAACAUAACUGUGCUACAUGUAUGCUGCGCAUUUUACAUGUAUUAUCAAGUAUGUAGAAAUUAUUACAGACUUUUGGUGAAUGACAAAAAAUACUGCUAUAUUCUGAGAAAAAAAAAAUUAAAACUUCUAGGGAUGUGAGGCUGAAUUGCGAAUGUGCUGGGAUCCACUUUACACAAUUAUAAAAAGUUGAAAGUGGAGGAUAGGCCCCCUUUUUAAAGUUGAUAAACCAAUCCAUUACAACUGAAUACAUGCUAGCCUAUCUGAGCAAAACAUCCACAUCUUAGAUUUAUAUUAUCCGACAAAGCCCAUUAUUGUGCUUUCUAGUAACGUACAGUAUAUAAUUAAUACUGAAUAAUUUUUUUAUGAUUUGCCAACAGCCAAAAAAAAAACAAGGUGCAGGCUGAAAAAGGACACCCCUGGAUUAAUCCUUGGAAGAGGUUUUCUUCUGUGCUUUUGUAAACAAUGCAGUCAGAGCACCUUGUGCUGAAAAAAAACUUGCAUCAUAACUUCAAAGUGACUACAGUGUGUUUAUAUUAAAAUGCUAUAUGUGGCAACCUCAGUCGGGAGAGGUCCAAUCCCUCGCUGCUCAAAAAGUGAGUGAAAUAAAUCAUAAAAAUAAGAAAGUUCUUAUGUGCGUAGAAGUGCGUUUUGGGGCAACUAACACA